UUUCCAGACUCCUACGGGAGGCAGCAGUGAGGAAUAUUGGUCAAUGGCCGGAAGGCUGAACCAGCCAAGCCGCGUGAGGGAGGAAGGCGCAGAGCGUCGCAGACCUCUUUUGCCGGGGGACAAAAGGCCGGACUCGUCCGGUCCUGAGGGUACCCGGAGAAAAAGCAUCGGCUAACUCCGUGCCAGCAGCCGCGGUAAUACGGAGGAUGCGAGCGUUAUCCGGAUUUAUUGGGUUUAAAGGGUGCGUAGGUGGUUAAUUAAGUCAGCGGUGAAAGUUUGUGGCUCAACCAUAAAAUUGCCGUUGAAACUGGUUGACUUGAGUAUAUUUGAGGUAGGCGGAAUGCGUGGUGUAGCGGUGAAAUGCAUAGAUAUCACGCAGAACUCCGAUUGCGAAGGCAGCAUACCGGCGCCCAACUGACGCUGAAGCACGAAAGCGUGGGUAUCGAACAGGAUUAGAUACCCGGGUAA
rnacentral:rRNA from 1 species